rnacentral:rRNA from 1 species
GAUGAACGCUGGCGGCGUGCCUAAUACAUGCAAGUCGAGCGAACAGACGAGGAGCUUGCUCCUCUGACGUUAGCGGCGGACGGGUGAGUAACACGUGGAUAACCUACCUAUAAGACUGGGAUAACUUCGGGAAACCGGAGCUAAUACCGGAUAAUAUAUUGAACCGCAUGGUUCAAUAGUGAAAGACGGUUUUGCUGUCACUUAUAGAUGGAUCCGCGCCGCAUUAGCUAGUUGGUAAGGUAACGGCUUACCAAGGCAACGAUGCGUAGCCGACCUGAGAGGGUGAUCGGCCACACUGGAACUGAGACACGGUCCAGACUCCUACGGGAGGCGGCAGUAGGGAAUCUUCCGCAAAGGGCGAAAGCCUGACGGAGCAACGCCGCGUGAGUGAUGAAGGUCUUCGGAUCGUAAAACUCUGUUAUUAGGGAAGAACAAAUGUGUAAGUAACUAUGCACGUCUUGACGGUACCUAAUCAGAAAGCCACGGCUAACUACGUG